GACGUAGGGCGCGAGCGUUGUCCGGAAUCACUGGGCGUAAAGGGCGCGUAGGUGGCGACCCAAGUCGAUGGUGAAAGCUCGCCGCUCAACGGCGAGUCGGCCACCGAUACUGGGUUGCUCGAGCACUGUAGGGGCAGAUGGAAUUCCGGGUGUAGCGGUGGAAUGCGUAGAGAUCCGGAGGAACACCGGUGGCGAAGGCGG
rnacentral:rRNA from 1 species